rnacentral:rRNA from 1 species
GACGAACGCUGGCGGCGUGCUUAACACAUGCUAGUCGAACGGAGUGGCGAACGGGGUAGUAACACGUGGGCGAUCUCCCCUCCACUUCGGGAUAAGCCUGGGAAACUGGGUCUAAUACCGGUUAGUGUGGGAUGGGCCCGCGGCCUAUCAGCUUGUUGGUGGGGUAAUGCCCUACCAAGGCGGCGCCGGAUACCCGGCAUGAGAGGGUGGACGGACACAUUGGGACUGGGGCACGGCCCAGACUCGUACGGGGGGCAGCAGGGGAGAAUAUUGCGCAAUGGGCGGAAGCCUGAUGCAGCGACGCCGCGUGGGGGAUGACGGCCUUCGGGUUGUAAACUCCUUUCACCGACGACGCGGUAGAUGGAGAAGAAGCACCGGCUAACUACGUGCCAGCAGCCGCGGUAAUAC